CGUAACGCGUAUGCAACUUACCUUAUACUGGGGGAUAGCCCGGAGAAAUUCGGAUUAAUACCGCAUAUGCUCACAGUUUCGCAUGGAACAGUGAGGAAAGAUUUAUCGGUAUAAGAUAGGCAUGCGUCCUAUUAGCUUGUUGGUGAGGUAACGGCUCACCAAGGCGAUGAUAGGUAGGGGGCCUGAGAGGGCGACCGGCCACACUGGGACUGAGACACGGCCCAGACUCC
rnacentral:rRNA from 1 species